UUAAGCGACUAAGCGUACACGGUGGAUGCCCUGGCAGUCAGAGGCGAUGAAGGACGUGCUAAUCUGCGAUAAGCGUCGGUAAGGUGAUAUGAACCGUUAUAACCGGCGAUUUCCGAAUGGGGAAACCCAGUGUGUUUCGACACACUAUCAUUAACUGAAUCCAUAGGUUAAUGAGGCGAACCGGGGGAACUGAAACAUCUAAGUACCCCGAGGAAAAGAAAUCAACCGAGAUUCCCCCAGUAGCGGCGAGCGAACGGGGAGCAGCCCAGAGCCUGAAUCAGUGUGUGUGUUAGUGGAAGCGUCUGGAAAGGCGCGCGAUACAGGGUGACAGCCCCGUACACAAAAAUGCACAUGCUGUGAGCUCGAUGAGUAGGGCGGGACACGUGGUAUCCUGUCUGAAUAUGGGGGGACCAUCCUCCAAGGCUAAAUACUCCUGACUGACCGAUAGUGAACCAGUACCGUGAGGGAAAGGCGAAAAGAACCCCGGCGAGGGGAGUGAAAAAGAACCUGAAACCGUGUACGUACAAGCAGUGGGAGCACGCUUAGGCGUGUGACUGCGUACCUUUUGUAUAAUGGGUCAGCGACUUAUAUUCUGUAGCAAGGUUAACCGAAUAGGGGAGCCGAAGGGAAACCGAGUCUUAACUGGGCGUUAAGUUGCAGGGUAUAGACCCGAAACCCGGUGAUCUAGCCAUGGGCAGGUUGAAGGUUGGGUAACACUAACUGGAGGACCGAACCGACUAAUGUUGAAAAAUUAGCGGAUGACUUGUGGCUGGGGGUGAAAGGCCAAUCAAACCGGGAGAUAGCUGGUUCUCCCCGAAAGCUAUUUAGGUAGCGCCUCGUGAAUUCAUCUCCGGGGGUAGAGCACUGUUUCGGCAAGGGGGUCAUCCCGACUUACCAACCCGAUGCAAACUGCGAAUACCGGAGAAUGUUAUCACGGGAGACACACGGCGGGUGCUAACGUCCGUCGUGAAGAGGGAAACAACCCAGACCGCCAGCUAAGGUCCCAAAGUCAUGGUUAAGUGGGAAACGAUGUGGGAAGGCCCAGACAGCCAGGAUGUUGGCUUAGAAGCAGCCAUCAUUUAAAGAAAGCGUAAUAGCUCACUGGUCGAGUCGGCCUGCGCGGAAGAUGUAACGGGGCUAAACCAUGCACCGAAGCUGCGGCAGCGACNAUGCUGGAGGUAUCAGAAGUGCGAAUGCUGACAUAAGUAACGAUAAAGCGGGUGAAAAGCCCGCUCGCCGGAAGACCAAGGGUUCCUGUCCAACGUUAAUCGGGGCAGGGUGAGUCGACCCCUAAGGCGAGGCCGAAAGGCGUAGUCGAUGGGAAACAGGUUAAUAUUCCUGUACUUGGUGUUACUGCGAAGGGGGGACGGAGAAGGCUAUGUUGGCCGGGCGACGGUUGUCCCGGUUUAAGCGUGUAGGCUGGUUUUCCAGGCAAAUCCGGAAAAUCAAGGCUGAGGCGUGAUGACGAGGCACUACGGUGCUGAAGCAACAAAUGCCCUGCUUCCAGGAAAAGCCUCUAAGCAUCAGGUAACAUCAAAUCGUACCCCAAACCGACACAGGUGGUCAGGUAGAGAAUACCAAGGCGCUUGAGAGAACUCGGGUGAAGGAACUAGGCAAAAUGGUGCCGUAACUUCGGGAGAAGGCACGCUGAUAUGUAGGUGAAGUCCCUCGCGGAUGGAGCUGAAAUCAGUCGAAGAUACCAGCUGGCUGCAACUGUUUAUUAAAAACACAGCACUGUGCAAACACGAAAGUGGACGUAUACGGUGUGACGCCUGCCCGGUGCCGGAAGGUUAAUUGAUGGGGUUAGCGCAAGCGAAGCUCUUGAUCGAAGCCCCGGUAAACGGCGGCCGUAACUAUAACGGUCCUAAGGUAGCGAAAUUCCUUGUCGGGUAAGUUCCGACCUGCACGAAUGGCGUAAUGAUGGCCAGGCUGUCUCCACCCGAGACUCAGUGAAAUUGAACUCGCUGUGAAGAUGCAGUGUACCCGCGGCAAGACGGAAAGACCCCGUGAACCUUUACUAUAGCUUGACACUGAACAUUGAGCCUUGAUGUGUAGGAUAGGUGGGAGGCUUAGAAGUGUGGACGCCAGUCUGCAUGGAGCCGACCUUGAAAUACCACCCUUUAAUGUUUGAUGUUCUAACGUUGACCCGUAAUCCGGGUUGCGGACAGUGUCUGGUGGGUAGUUUGACUGGGGCGGUCUCCUCCUAAAGAGUAACGGAGGAGCACGAAGGUUGGCUAAUCCUGGUCGGACAUCAGGAGGUUAGUGCAAUGGCAUAAGCCAGCUUGACUGCGAGCGUGACGGCGCGAGCAGGUGCGAAAGCAGGUCAUAGUGAUCCGGUGGUUCUGAAUGGAAGGGCCAUCGCUCAACGGAUAAAAGGUACUCCGGGGAUAACAGGCUGAUACCGCCCAAGAGUUCAUAUCGACGGCGGUGUUUGGCACCUCGAUGUCGGCUCAUCACAUCCUGGGGCUGAAGUAGGUCCCAAGGGUAUGGCUGUUCGCCAUUUAAAGUGGUACGCGAGCUGGGUUUAGAACGUCGUGAGACAGUUCGGUCCCUAUCUGCCGUGGGCGCUGGAGAACUGAGGGGGGCUGCUCCUAGUACGAGAGGACCGGAGUGGACGCAUCACUGGUGUUCGGGUUGUCAUGCCAAUGGCACUGCCCGGUAGCUAAAUGCGGAAGAGAUAAGUGCUGAAAGCAUCUAAGCACGAAACUUGCCCCGAGAUGAGUUCUCCCUGACUC
rnacentral:rRNA from 1 species